ACAAAAUUGGCCAAAUGGUCCAAAUAAAACUAAAUUAAAACCUAAGCUAUAGGCUGACCAGUACUAACUGGUGGCCCAAAACCAAAAAACACAAAAAAUAGCCCAAAUCGAUGUAACACGAUGGACCAACUAACCUAUUACAUAUACCCUUUGUUUUAGGGCUUUCUAAUCCAAUCUUCAUUUCCCCUAAACACCUAAGCUCUGAAGAUGCCACCUCACUUCAACAGUGACUUUCUGCUGCUCCUUCUAUGAGUGACUUUCUGCUCCUCCUUCUAUGGGUUGUUAAUGGAUUUGCUUUGAUGUUGCAGCUCAUUUCUCAUCAGCUUUCAAGACUGUGUUCUCCGUUGGGUGGUAUGCUUCAUCUUUUUGCUAGAGGUUCCAUCAUGGAUGAAAAUUGGUCUAUUGGGAAGUUUGGUUAACUCAGCUUCUUUUAUUCCACUUUACCUGCUUACAACAAAACUGAAUCUUUCUAGGUGGAUCUGCGAUUGAGUGCAUGGGAAGCUUAAUACUACCACCCCAUAGUAAACUUCUUAUCUUCCAGGUUUCAAUUUUCAAUUCGAUCCUGAAUCUUCCCAUUUUACGGAGUCCUCUUUUGAAGGAUGUAAUAGAUAGGCUAGCAUUUCACUUUAUGUAAUGUAAAUAUUAGUCAAGUGAAAACUAUAUGCUGUAGCCUAGCCUUAUGCCCUUUAUCCCCUUCUAGUUGAUACUCUCAAGUAUGGACACUUUAAUUUGUCACUUCGAAUAAUGCUUUUCCCUCUUGUUUCCAUGCUGUUAAUGUGAAUAUAAAUGCAUUCUCCUGUU